CCUACGGGCGGCAGCAGUGGGGGAUAUUGCACAAUGGGGGGAACCCUGAUGCAGCGACGCCGCGUGGGUGAAGAAGCGCCUCGGCGCGUAAAGCCCUGUCAGCAGGGAAGAAAAUGACGGUACCUGAAGAAGAAGCCCCGGCUAACUACGUGCAAGCAGCCGCGGUAAUACGUAGGGGGCCAGCGUUAUACGGAUUUACUGGGUGUAAAGGGGGCGCAGACGGCGAUGCAAGCCAGGAGUGAAAGCCAGGGGCCCAACCCCGGGACUGCUCUUGGAAAUGCGUGGCUGGAGUGCAGGGGGGGCAGGCGGAAUUCCGGGUGUAGCGGUGGAAUGCGUAGGUAUCAGGAGGAAAACCGGUGGCUAAGGCGACCUGCUGGACUGCAACUGACGUUGAGGCCCGAAAGCGUGGGGAGCAAACAGGAUUAGAUACCCCUGUAGUC
rnacentral:rRNA from 1 species